rnacentral:rRNA from 1 species
GACGAACGCUGGCGGCGUGCCUAACACAUGCAAGUCGAACGAGAUCCAUGGGAGCUUGCUCCCGGAAGAUCUAGUGGCGAACGGGUGAGUAACACGUGAGAAACCUGCCCUGGAGUGGGGAAUAACUCGGGGAAACUCGAGCUAAUACCGCAUACCCUCGGAUGGUCGCAUGGCCGACCGAGGAAAAGAUUUAUCGCUCUAGGAGGGUCUCGCGGCCUAUCAGCUAGUUGGUGGGGUAACGGCCUACCAAGGCAACGAUGGGUAGCUGGUUUGAGAGAACGAUCAGCCACACUGGGACUGAGACACGGCCCAGACUCCUACGGGAGGCAGCAGUGGGGAAUCUUGCGCAAUGGGCGAAAGCCUGACGCAGCAACGCCGCGUGCGGGAUGACGGCCUUCGUGGUUGUAAACCGCUUUCAGCAGGGACGAAAAUGACGGUACCUGCAGAAGAAGACCCCGGCUAACUACGUGCCAGCAGCCGCGGUAAU